CCGAUUCGAUGAUGACAGCAUAGUUCAGCCGAUAACCCGUGACGAACAAACAGCAUUGUCUUUCGCUCCUAACUGAAGAACCGG